rnacentral:rRNA from 1 species
GACGAACGCUGGCGGCGUGCUUAACACAUGCAAGUCGAACGGAAAGGCCCUGCUUUUGUGGGGUGCUCGAGUGGCGAACGGGUGAGUAACACGUGAGUAACCUGCCCUUGACUUUGGGAUAACUUCAGGAAACUGGGGCUAAUACCGGAUAGGAGCUCCUGCUGCAUGGUGGGGGUUGGAAAGUUUCGGCGGUUGGGGAUGGACUCGCGGCUUAUCAGCUUGUUGGUGGGGUAGUGGCUUACAAAGGCUUUGACGGGUAGCCGGCCUGGGAGGGUGACCGGCCACAUUGGGACUAGGGUACGGCCCAGAAGCGUACGGUAGGCAGCGGUGGAGAAUAUUGCACAAUGGGCGGAAGCCUGAGGCAGCAGCGCCGCGUGCGGGAUGACGGCCUUCGGGUUGUAAACCGCUUUCGCCUGUGACGAAGCGUGAGUGACGGUAAUGGGUAAAGAAGCACCGGCUAACUACGUG